AUUGAACGCUGGCGGCAUGCUUUACACAUGCAAGUCGAACGGUAACAGGCCGCAAGGUGCUGACGAGCGGCGAACGGGUGAGUAAUGCAUCGGAACGUGCCCAGUCGUGGGGGAUAACGCAGCGAAAGCUGCGCUAAUACCGCAUACGAUCUAUGGAUGAAAGCGGGGGACCGUAAGGCCUCGCGCGAUUGGAGCGGCCGAUGUCAGAUUAGGUAGUUGGUGGGGUAAAGGCUCACCAAGCCAACGAUCUGUAGCUGGUCUGCGAGGACGACCAGCCACACUGGGACUGAGACACGGCCCAGACUCCUACGGGAGGCAGCAGUGGGGAAUUUUGGACAAUGGGCGCAAGCCUGAUCCAGCAAUGCCGCGUGCAGGAAGAAGGCCUUCGGGUUGUAAACUGCUUUUGUACGGAACGAAACGGUCCUGGUUAAUACCCGGGGCUAAUGACGGUACCGUAAGAAUAAGCACCGGCUAACUACGUGCCAGCCGCCGCCGUAAUAC
rnacentral:rRNA from 1 species